rnacentral:rRNA from 1 species
UACGUAGGUGGCAAGCGUUAUCCGGAUUUAUUGGGCGUAAAGGGAACGCAGGCGGUCUUUUAAGUCUGAUGUGAAAGCCUUCGGCUUAACCGGAGUAGUGCAUUGGAAACUGGGAGACUUGAGUGCAGAAGAGGAGAGUGGAACUCCAUGUGUAGCGGUGAAAUGCGUAGAUAUAUGGAAGAACACCAGUGGCGAAAGCGAUUCUCUGGACUGUAACUGACGCUGAGGCUCGAAAGCGUGGGGAGCAAACAGG